GAGACAACUGCCAGGGGUGUCCAUAGGGACCUUGGCAACACCUUCCCUGCCUUGUCCUGAUGUUGUGCUGUGCUACUCUGUGAUGCACCAGAAAGUUGAAAAUGUGAGAUUUACCUGUGCUGAUUCACAUCACCCGCAGUCAGUAUCUAUCUACAAAGACCUGCCAGUUGCCCCUUCAUCUGGAGGAAACCCAAAGCAGUCAAAAGGAAAUGCUUCUCAAAGGAUUAAGAACCCUGAAUUGGAUAGUUUAGCACAGGUAUGAGUGGAAGAAAGGAGUCACAGAUCUGGACUAAUACCGUACCUGAGUCCAGAAUAGAUUUUAAGGAUUCCAAGUGCCUGAAGAGGACACAUGCAGGUAAAUAACAAUA
rnacentral:lncRNA from 1 species